GAGCGGGCAUCGCAAGAUGUCAGCGGCAGACGGGAGAGUAACACGUGGGAACGUGCCCUUCAGUUCGGAACAACCCAGGGAAACUUGGGCUGAUACCGGAUACGUCCGUAAGGAGAAAGAUUUAUCGCUGAAGGAUCGGCCCGCGUCUGAUUAGCUAGUUGGUGGGGUAAUGGCCCACCAAGGCGACGAUCAGUAGCUGGUCUGAGAGGAUGAUCAGCCUCACUGGGACUGAGACACGGCCCAGACUCCUACGGGAGGCAGCAGUGGGGAAUAUUGGACAAUGGGCGCAAGCCUGAUCCAGCCAUGCCGCGUGGGUGAUGAAGGCCCUAGGGUUGUAAAGCCCUUUCGGCGGGGAAGAUAAUGACGGUACCCGCAGAAGAAGCCCCGGCUAACUUCGUGCCAGCAGCCGCGGUAAU
rnacentral:rRNA from 1 species